UCCAGUGUUCAGCCAAGCAUGCAGGCCUAAUCUCAGCGCUCUUGCACCGGCUCUCUGCUCUCUCCCCUGGGACAGUGAGCCUAUCAUCUAGCCCAGCGCUUCCACACAGGCCCUGGAGCUGAUUAGUCUUCUGCACACUCUGGACACAAAUCCACACACCGCCGGGCUUGUGUGGGUUCUCCGGUUUCCUCCCACCUCUAACCAACAUGCUUUUAUAUAGAGUGACUACUCGAGAAUACCCGCAAGUGUGUGAGAUGCUGUGCAUCUGGAGUGUAUCCCUACCUUGUGUCCAGUGUUCCUGAGAUCUACUGCACUGAGGGUGUCUGCUCCAGUUUAACAACUCAGGUGUCCCCAUCAAUUAGCCUUGAAUUUAGACUUUCAUUGAGAGUAUGCGGCUAAUAUCUACACUGACUCAGAAGAAAGACAGUUUUCACGACCGCCCAACAAUCUGCUAAGUGAAAACACGUGUCCGAGGCUCAGGCCCUGCCUGUGAGGGGUCCUAGGUCCAAUGGGAAGCAGGUGCUCCACUUUUUUGCCACGUAAUACUCCAUUUAGCCCCAGGGCCAAAGGUUAUGCAGCUAAUAGCUGCCUGGUGCAGGGCGGGGAAGAGCCAAGCACGAGGCCAGGCUAAAACA